UACGUAGGGCGCAAGCGUUAUCCGGAAUUAUUGGGCGUAAAGAGCUCGUAGGCGGUUUGUCGCGUCUGCCGUGAAAGUCCGGGGCUCAACUCCGGAUCUGCGGUGGGUACGGGCAGACUAGAGUGAUGUAGGGGAGACUGGAAUUCCUGGUGUAGCGGUGAAAUGCGCAGAUAUCAGGAGGAACACCGAUGGCGAAGGCAGGUCUCUGGGCAUUAACUGACGCUGAGGAACGAAAGCUAGGGGAGCGAAUGGG
rnacentral:rRNA from 1 species